AUGGCUUCCCACCCGCCGCCGCCACUGCCGCCGGAGCACCCUAUACCGCCUGCUCCCACCACCAUAAGUGCCCUCGACGACGACCAGCUCCGAGAGAUCUUCCUCCGCCUCCCGGACCUCCCCAGCCUCGCCUCCGCUGCCUUCACCUGCCGCACCUUCCUCGGCACCAUCCGUUCGUCCCGUGCCUUUCCCCGUAGCUUCCGUGCGCUCCACGCGCCCCCGCUCCUCGCUCUCUUCCUCACACCCUACAUGCGCACGGUACCUACCUUCCCCGCCUCACGCCCCCCCACUGCCGCCAGAUUCAGUCCCCUCCGAGACGAUGAUGCUUCCGAGUGGGGGGUCGAUUUCUCCGAUCCUUCGAUUGCCUUCGACGAAGGCUUCAUCGCUCUCCAGCAUCGGAGCACCAAGCAGGAAGUUUACUACAACCCUCAAACGAUGGCUCUGUUUCUCCACCCCCAUGAGCACCAUGACAUGCCCGACGACACCACCCUUGAGUUCCACACACUCUCCCCCGGAGAGGAUCAGAGGCCGCCCCGUGUGGUCUCUACCCGUCAUGAUCACUCGCGGCCUUGGGCUCGCGUCGCCGUCUUCUCACCGGACACCAUGGAGUGGCAUAUUUUCCCGAAGACGACCGCGCUGCUGCCUGAGGGAUUCAGGCGUACAACCCGCAUGAUGGUGGAUGGGUUUAUAUAUUGGCAAUGCGAGUCUGUGGGCGGGGCAUCUCUCAGCGAGUACAUUUUGGUGCUCAACACAGAUACCUUUCACUUCUCGCUAAUAGAUCUGCCGCCGCCCUUGAGAGUGGUAUACCCAGAAUUUAAGAUUGGUCAGGCCAAGAGUCUUAGGCUCUCUAUUGUAAAUGAGAAGGAAUGCACACUUUCUGUUUGGAUCUUGAGAGACAGUGAUGACGGCGUCCAGCGAUUUGUGCUACACAAUACGUUUCCGUUGCACUCUAGCUUUAUGGAGGUCACCAACUGUUCAGUGGAAGAUACAAUCUCAGUGCGGCUUAUGACGGUUUUUAGUGGUUUUGUCUAG
rnacentral:rRNA from 1 species